rnacentral:rRNA from 1 species
GACGAGAAAGUACCUUCGGGUGCGAGUACAGUGGCGCACGGGUGAGUAACACGUAGGUGACCUGCCCUUCAGCGGGGGAUAACUAGAAGAAAUUUUAGCUAAUACCGCGUACGAAAAAUCAAUUUGAAUAAGAUUUUUGAAAGGAUGCCUCUUUGCAAUGCAUUCGCUGAGGGAUGGGCCUGCGGGACAUUAGCCUUGAUGGUGGGGUAACAGGCCUACCAUGGCGACGAUGUCUAGCCGGAUUGAGAGAUUGAUCGGCCACUGGAACUGAGACACGGUCCAGACUCCUACGGGAGACAGCAGUGGGGAAUAUUGCGCAAUGGGGGAAACCCUGACGCAGCAAUGCCGCAUGAGUGAGGAAGGCCUUCGGCUUGUAAAACUCUGUCAGAUGGGAAGAACGGUCAUAGGUCUAAUAGGCUUAUGAUUUGACGGUACCAUCAAAGGAAGCACCGGCUAACUUCGUGCCAGCAGCCGCGGUAAUACGAAGGGUGCAAGCGUUGUUCGGAUUUAUUGGGCGUAAAGCGCGCGCAGGCGGAUUGACAAGUCAGAUGUGAAAUCUCGGGGCUCAACCCCGAAACUGCGUCUGAAACUGUUAAUCUAGAAUCUCGGAGAGGGAAGUGGAAUUUCGCAUGUAGGGGUAAAAUCCGUAGAGAUGCGAAGGAACACCAGUGGCGAAGGCGACUUCCUGGACGAGUAUUGACGCUGAGGCGCGAAAGCGUGGGGAGCAAACAGGAUUAGAUACCCUGGUAGUCCACGCCGUAAACGAUGUGCACUAGGAUUGGGGGAGUUUGACCUCUUCCGAUCCGAAGCUAACGCAUUAAGUGCACCGCCUGGGGAGUACGGUCGCAAGACUAAAACUCAAAGGAAUUGACGGGGGCCCGCACAAGCGGUGGAUUAUGUGGUUUAAUUCGAAGCAACGCGCAAAACCUUACCUAGGCUUAAAAUCCCGAGAAUCCUCCCGAAAAGGAGGAGUGCUCUUCGGAGAAUUCGGUGACAGGCGCUGCAUGGCUGUCGUCAGCUCGUGUUGUGAAAUGUUGGGUUAAGUCUCGCAACGAGCGCAACCCCUAUCUUUAGUUGCCAGCAUUAAGUUGGGCACUCUAGGGAGACUGCCGGGGUUAACCCGGAGGAAGGUGGGGAUGACGUCAAGUCCUCAUGGCCCUUAUAUCCAGGGCUACACACGUAAUACAAUGGACAGUACAGAGGGACGCAAGCUCGCGAGAGCAAGCAAAUCUCAAAAAACUGUUCUCAGUCCGGAUUGGAGUCUGCAACUCGACUCCAUGAAGUUGGAAUCGCUAGUAAUCGCGGAUCAGCAUGCCGCGGUGAAUACGUUCCCGGGCCUUGUACACACCGCCCGUCACACCAUGGGAGUUGAUCUCACCUGAAGUCGUGACCCUAACCUUUCGGGGAUGGGAGCGCCUACGGUGGGUUCGAUGACUGGG